UACGUAGGGCGCAAGCGUUGUCCGGAAUUAUUGGGCGUAAAGAGCUCGUAGGCGGCUUGUCACGUCGGGUGUGAAAGCCCGGGGCUUAACCCCGGGUCUGCAUUCGAUACGGGCAGGCUAGAGUGUGGUAGGGGAGAUCGGAAUUCCUGGUGUAGUGGUGAAAUGCGCAGAUAUCAGGAGGAACACCGGUGGCGAAGGCGGAUCUCUGGGCCAUUACUGACGCUGAGGAGCGAAAGCGUGGGGAGCGAACAGG
rnacentral:rRNA from 1 species